UGAGCGAUGAAAUUUCAAACCAAGUGAAAAUGAUGCUGUGAAUCUUACUAGAUGUCCAAAGGUCUCAGGAAUUUCCCCCAGAGAAAAGGCCUUCAUGUAUCACAGCCAGACUAGAACAUACCCAAAGUCAAACCCAACUCCACGUAGUCACAGCCACUGCCAGGCGGCUGUUAUCAAAGCCACAAGUCCUCCCCAAAGGCAAGCUGCUGUGGUCUCUGCUCUGCAUGGUCUUGGUCAAUUUUCCACUUAAACAAAAACAAAUAGGACAAGAAUACAAAUAAGAUAUGGCUUGACACCACUGGUUUGGGUACAAGAGUUGGUGAGGAUAUGGAGAAACUGGGGCACUAUUGCUGGUAUGAAAAUAGUGUGGCUGUUUUGGAAAAUUUAAAGUGUUACCUCAUGGGACCCUGAAAAUCCAUUCCAGAAAAAUUCAGUGACUUGAAAACAUCUGCCUACACAAAGCAAAAAAACCCACCCUGUACUUGAAUGCUAACAACAUUCGGCAUAACAAGCAAACAGGAGAAACAGUCCAAGUAUCCAUGAACUGAUAAAUUAACAAAUACGAUUCAGCCACACGAUGAUUGUACAGCCACAGCGAAUGUUGAUGCUACAAUCACACGAACAGUGAGGACGGAGAACGGGAAACGCUGGACACAAAGGCCACAUAGUGAGUGAUGUCAUUUAUGGAAAUGUCUAGAAUAGGCAAACAGACUGGGGGCUGUCUGGACUCGGGAGGGAAAAUGGGAGUGAUUGCUUGCCAGUGGGGAGAUUUCUUUUGGAGGAAUCUGGGGUUGGAUGGACAACAUUGUGAAUACCCCACCACCCACUGUACAUUAAAAGAGCAAAUUUCAUUGUAAAUUCUCUUAAUAAAGCUAUUUUAAAAAACUGGUUAUAAAGUGCCAUUUGUUUACUUCUUAGACUUCAAUUUAGAGGUACUAUAGAAUAUAUGCCCGAAACAUUCCCUCUUGCUGGUGGCUAUACACAACUGGGAAGGAGGAUGUGACGAGAGACCCAGACAGGUUCUAGCAGCUUGACCAGAAGUUCUUGGAGGCACCAUUCGAGGCUUCCCACAUCUGAUACUAUGUUUCUCAGAGAUUAUUAUGUAAGGAGACUUAUUGGAACAAAACCAAACUAAACCAGUCCUUUUUCCAGAAACACUGUGCCUUUUGUCUGUAGAAAACAGAACUAAUGUAUGGCUAUCUUUUUGACUUUUGCUACCG
rnacentral:lncRNA from 1 species